AUAGCCCGGCGAAAGCCGGAUUAAUACCGCAUACGCUCUGAGGAGGAAAGGGGGGGAUCUUUCGGGACCUCUCGCUCAAGGGGCGGCCGAUGGCAGAUUAGCUAGUUGGUGGGGUAAAGGCCUACCAAGGCGACGAUCUGUAGCUGGUCUGAGAGGACGACCAGCCACACUGGGACUGAGACACGGCCCAGACUCCUACGGGAGGCAGCAGUGGGGAAUUUUGGACAAUGGGCGCAAGCCUGAUCCAGCAAUGCCGCGUGUGUGAAGAAGGCCUUCGGGUUGUAAAGCACUUUUGUCCGGAAAGAAAACCUUCGCCCUAAUACGGUGGGGGGAUGACGGUACCGGAAGAAUAAGCACCGGCUAACUACGUGCCAGCAGCCGCGGUAAUACGUAGGGUGCAAGCGUUAAUCGGAAUUACUGGGCGUAAAGCGUGCGCAGGCGGUUCGCUAAGACAGAUGUGAAAUCCCCGGGCUUAACCUGGGAACUGCAUUUGUGACUGGCGGGCUAGAGUAUGGCAGAGGGGGGUAGAAUUCCACGUGUAGCAGUGAAAUGCGUAGAGAUGUGGAGGAAUACCGAUGGCGAAGGCAGCCCCCUGGGCCAAUACUGACGCUCA
rnacentral:rRNA from 1 species